AAUGGGAUGCCUGAUUAAAAGGUUUAUUUUGAUAGAAUAACUAAUGUGAACUUUCACUCUCAUUA
rnacentral:tRNA from 1 species